rnacentral:rRNA from 1 species
UACGUAGGGGGCAAGCGUUGUCCGGAUUUAUUGGGCGUAAAGAGCGUGUAGGCGGCUAUGCAGGUCCGCUGUGAAAACUCGAGGCUCAACCUCGAGAUGUCGAUGGAAACCGUCUGGCUAGAGUCCGGAAGAGGAGUGUGGAAUUCCUGGUGUAGCGGUGAAAUGCGCAGAUAUCAGGAAGAACACCUAUGGCGAAGGCAGCACUCUGGGACGGUACUGACGCUGAGACGCGAAAGCGUGGGGAGCGAACAGG